rnacentral:rRNA from 1 species
CGGAUAACCUGCCUCACACAGGGGAGUAACAGUUAGAAAAGACUGCUAAUACCGCAUAAGCGCACGGCAUCGCAUGAUGCAGUGUGAAAAACUCCGGUGGUGUGAGAUGGAUCCGCGUCUGAUUAGCUAGUUGGCGAGGUAACGGCCCACCAAGGCGACGAUCAGUAGCCGACCUGAGAGGGUGAUCGGCCACAUUGGGACUGAGACACGGCCCAA